rnacentral:lncRNA from 1 species
AGACAUGCUGUGGACCUGCUUGGGACUUCAUUUCCAGGAUGUAAAAGUGUCUCAUUGAGGCUUUGCUUUCUUAUUUGCAGAGUGGAAGGUGAAUAUUUGUGUUUAAGAAUAACUGCCUCUUAUCACCCCUUUUGAUUGAUUGGUAGCCUAAUUCUUGAUACACCUACCAUCUAAAUCUAAGACUUGGAAUAGAUCCCACCCCUAAGUUUCCAGUGAUGGUCAUACACUGAACUCUUCCCUGCAAUGGUUAUUUCUGUGAACCACAUUGAAAAUUUUGCAUAGAUGCAAAAUAAGCAGAUUGACUUUUAAAUUCUUUAUGUUCUGUGAAGGAUCACUGAGAGAUGUUCUCAUGUAGGUGGAAACUGGGGACUGGGAAUUAAUCGUGUGUGUAAGAAUAGUAAUUAUUGGCAGAAUUUAAAAUGUGGGUCUUUCAUAUUUUAUUCGUAUAGUUUCUUCUUGUUCUAGAUAUCUAUGGCAUCAUUAUAUGGAUCUAGGAGGUAACCAACUGAAAAACUUUGAGAGGAGAAAUUGCAUUAUGAAAUGAAGCCUGUGAGAGUGCCAUUGUAUGGCAGAAUUCAGUCUAGGCCUUUGGAGUGAAACCUCUUAAGCUACACAUUGUGAAAAAAGAGGAAUGAUCUGCUGGUAACCAAAGGAAUUCCAGAUGAAAUACAUCUCACUGUUUAAUGUUCAUCUGGGGAAGGUAUAUGCAUUGAAUAAAAACAGUGAAAAUAAGGUAAAUUUUAUUGGUAAUUUUGUUGAGUCUCUUAAUAAAACCAGUGGUUUCCAAACUGUGAUCUAUUAUUUAUCAGUGGGCUGUGAAAUCUAUUUUGAGUCUUCUUUAGCAUUUAAACAUAUUAAAUAGAAGAAAACAGUGAAUUGCAAUAGUAAUGAUAAGUAUCUUUUUGUGAAACUUAUAUGUCACACACACACACACACACACAUACUCUAAAAUAUAUUUCUUACUGUGAAUCAUGGUCCAAAAAAACUUAAAGGCUGUAUAUUAAAGUGUAGCUGUCAGCAUGGAGUCCUGGGAUAUCAGGUUGUGAUGCCUAGCCCCUCUUGGAUUCUUGGUGGGUGCUGAGGAAGCUGCCGGUAAUGAAAGGAGAAUGAGAGGAGGCUCUGUGAUUCUGGAGGAGAAGUGCUGACCAGCUGCUCUGGCUCUACCCUGAUGCUGCUGCCUUGUAC